GCCCAGACUCCUACGGGAGGCAGCAGUGGGGAAUAUUGAACAAUGGGGGAAACCCUGAUGCAGCGACGCCGCGUGAGUGAAGAAGUAUUUCGGUAUGUAAAGCUAUAUCAGCAGGGAAGAAAUAGCGACCUUUGGGUCGCCAGACGGUACCUGACUAAGAAGCCCCGGCUAACUACGUGCAAGCAGCCGCGGUAAUACGUAGGGGGCGAGCGUUAUCCGGAAUUACUGGGUGUAAAGGGGGCGCAGACGGCGAUGCAAGCCAGGAGUGAAAGCCCGGGGCCCAACCCCGGGACUGCUCUUGGAACUGCGUGGCUGGAGUGCAUGAGGGGCAGGCGGAAUUCCUGGUGUAGCGGUGAAAUGCGUAGAUAUCAGGAGGAACACCGGUGGCGAAGGCGGCCUGCUGGACUGCAACUGACGUUGAGGCCCGAAAGCGUGGGGAGCAAACAGGAUUAGAUACCCGGGUAAG
rnacentral:rRNA from 1 species